ACCACUCAAUAUGUGGGUGCUGUCGAAUAUGCGACGAGUAUAUGACCAUCCAUCCACCCAAAACUAGAUGGAUAACCCCCGAAGACCCCGAAGAAAAUCGAAUUGUGACCAACGACGAUUAAUGAUCGUAAAAUAUUCAGCUCGUCUACCCGUGAUUAAUGCCACACAUAACCAUCAUUCUGUAUACCGAUUCUCAUGCAAAUGAGUAGGGCGUGUCCUUGCAGCCCUUUGCAUGGUGGAUGGGGUGACAAAUAAUUUGUCGGAAUAUUAAUGCCGUCAGAGAACAAAAUAGAAAUAAACCACAGGCAGUAAAAAGGCCAGAAAACGAGCAAAUAAUUUUAGGUGUGAUGCCGGGGCGUGACUUUGGGGUGCUGUGCUUAUGCUUUAAGCUGGUUAUUUUGAAUUUAAUACAAUUUUUUUCGCCAAAAGAUAUAUACGUGAUCUGAAUGCAAACACUUCUGCGAAGGCCCGCAUCCCCCACCCCUCCCCUCGGGAAACCACCCACGUUCCC
ensembl:ncRNA snoRNA:Or-ACA9 snoRNA:Orphan H/ACA box 9